CGUAGGAGACAAACGUUAUCCGGAGUUACUGGGCGUAAAGGGCGUGCAGGUGGUCUGUUAAGUCUGGCGUGAAAGCUCUCGGCUAAACCGGGAGAGGUCGUUGGAUACUGGCGGACUAGAGGACGGUAGAGGCGUGUGGAAUUCCGGGUGUAGUGGUGAAAUGCGUAGAGAUCCGGAGGAACACCAGUGGCGAAGGCGACACGCUGGGCCGUACCUGACACUAAAAACGCGACAGCAUGGGGAGCGAACGGGAUUAGAAACCCCGGUAGUCCAUGCCGUAAACGAUGCCAGCUAGAUGUUCAAUUCGCGCAAGCGAGUGGGGUAUCGAAGCUAACGCGGUAAGCUGGCCGCCUGGGGAGUACGGUCGCAAGGCUA
rnacentral:rRNA from 1 species